CCCUUAGAUGUUCUGGGCCGCACGCGCGCUACACUGACGAAUGCAACGAGCUUACAACCUUGGCCGAAAGGUCUGGGUAAUCUCCAAAUUUCGUCGUGAUGGGGAUAGAUUAUUGCAAUUAUUAAUCUUCAACGAGGAAUGCCUAGUAAGCGCAAGUCAUCAGCUUGCGUUGAUUACGUCCCUGCCCUUUGUACACACCGCCCGUCGCUCCUACCGAUUGAAUGGUCCGGUGAAGCGUUCGGACCGUGGCCUUUGGACGGUUCGCCGUCUGUUGGCUGCGGGAAGUUCGUUAAACCUUAUCAUUUAGAGGAAGGAGAAGUCGUANCA
rnacentral:rRNA from 1 species